AAAAAGGUAUACUCUCUGCAACGUCCCUUUCAACUUCAGUCCAAGAUUUAAUUUGGAAGUGGUCUGAACGAGUUAGGGCUUGUUCUCUCGACCUAUUCAGAUUAUUCAAAAUCUGUGGUAGCCACUGGGAGAGCUGGGAGAGAGGAAGAGAAGAGCUUCUCUCGACCUCUGCAGGGAUCAUCUAUGGUCGCCGCAGGGAAAGCUGGGAGAGAGGAAGAGAAAAGUGAAGGUUUCAUUUGAUAGAAGUCUGAAGAAAAAUCUUCUCUCGACUUCUGCAGGGAUCAUCUCUGGUCGCCGCUGGUUAGCUGGAAGAGGGGAAAAGGGGAAGAGAGGAAGAGAAGAGUGAAGGUUUUAUUUGAUAGAAGUCUGCAGGGAUCAUCUAUGGUCGCCGCUGGUCAGCUUUUGCUUCCUUGCCCUCUUUUUUUUGAAAUUUUAAUAUGGCUGCACUUCCUUUUUUGUUUAAUGAAUUUAAUUUACUAAUCUGGGUGUCAACAUAUUGAUAUAAUGUCGUAGUCGGUGGUUCUUAUCAUAUACAUGAAGUUGCCGCCUCUAAGAUAUGUUACUGAUUUUGUAAUAGUUUUUUAGUGAAUGCCUUGAUAACGUUUAAGCCAUCUUUGUACUCUGAUAUCAUCAAAUUUGAACAAUAUGAUCCAUUAAGAAACAGAGAUAAUGCAAUUGUGUAGUAAUUGUAUUACUCAUGCCUUUCAAAAUUAUAAUAACUUGGUAUUCUUCUCUGGGGGGAUUCAUCUGUGAAAUGUCCAAGGAGCUGGAUGAAAAGCUCCUACAAAUUGAAAAACUUGUUGGUUGAUGUUCAUGAUCUUAUAGGAUGAUUGCACCUAACUGAUACUUUGAUACUGAGCUCAUUUUAUGUACUGUAAAAACUAUGGCUGGUUACUUUUUGGAAGAGGGAGUGCAUCUUUUCUUUCUUUUUCUUUCUUCCUUUUUUUUUAUUAUUUAUUUAUUUAUUUAUUUAUUUUUAAGGAUUCUCAACUUGCACUAGUUUGAAGGAAACUCAUUUUUUUCAUUUUUUCUAAGGCCAGAAGAAGUGAAGGCAAAACAUCCAAAGAUUACAUAUGCAGACUUGUUAUUGUUAAAAUGCAAAUCACUAUGUACAUUUUGCUCUUUGUUCGGGAUCAUACUCAGACCCUGCUGUUCGAGUCUACAAAGCAACAGAAAGCUAUCCAGGAAUUCAUUAAGGGGUAGAAGGCUAGACAAGCACAUUCAGUGGUCUUUUUCUGUAUUAUGACAUGUACUGUAGUAACGACUUCAGCUUUAUGAGAUCCUGUAGAGCAUUCUUUUCAUUUGCCACUUUGUUAACAAAAAAUUUCAAAAAUGAUCUGGCCUCCUUGAAAAGGUUUAGACAAUAUAUUGGAAGCUAGGUACUUACAAGGCAAUUAAUAGAACACUAUUUACAGGUCUGCUCAUUUAGUAGAUGUAUGCUAGUUGAAUGAGUUGGUGCAGCAAUGGCAAUGGUGUGCCCGUUGCAAGUCUUUUGAAGCACAAGAUGUGAGAGAUGUCCUGAUUCAUUGUCCAAGUAUCCAGAAACUAUGUGAUUGACCGAUGGUUCGGAACAAACUGUCUCCAAUUACAUACAUAUUUUUUUCAUUGCUAUGAGAUGAAGUAGAUUCUCUACAUUUUAAUGUGAAAAUACUCUUUGAACUUAAAAGAACAAUUUCAAAAGUUUCCGUUGAGAGGAGGAGCUUCCUAUAAUCUAGAAA